rnacentral:rRNA from 1 species
AUUGAACGCUGGCGGCAGGCCUAACACAUGCAAGUCGAGCGGAGCGGCGGACGGGUGAGUAAUGCCUAGGAAUCUGCCUGGUAGUGGGGGAUAACGUCCGGAACCGGGCGCUAAUACCACAUACUAUCAGAUGAGCCUAGGUCGGAUUAGCCAGUUGGUGGGGUAAAGGCCGACCAGGGCGACGAUCCGUCACUGGUCUAAGAGGAUGAUAAGUCACACGGGAACGGAGACACGGUCCAGACUGCGACGGGAGGCAGCGGGGGGGAAUAGUGGAAAAUGGGCGAAAGCGUGAUCCAGCCAUGCCGCGUGUGUGAAGAGGUUCUUCGGAUUGUAAAGAAGUUUAUGUUGGGAGGCGUGACCAACAGAAUAAGCACCGGCUAACUUCGUGCCAGCAGCCGCGGUAAUUC